AUGAAGGUCUUCGGAUUGUAAACUGCUUUUAUAUGUGACGAUAAUGACGGUAGCAUAUGAAUAAGGAUCGGCUAACUCCGUGC
rnacentral:rRNA from 1 species